CCCACACCCAUGUGUGUAGGACUCCAAAGGAUCACCAUUAAAUUUGACACAUAUCUCUAGAAAAGUUAUCUCAUGGGUGUGGGACUUGACUUUUCUAAAGAUAUGUGCCAAAUUUAAUGGUGAUCGUUUGGAAUCCUACACACAUGGGUGUGAG
rfam:Amborella trichopoda AMTR_V1.0_contig_13300, whole genome shotgun sequence.